GAUGAACGCUGGCGGCGUGCCUAAUACAUGCAAGUCGAACGAAACUUCUUUAUCACCGAGUGCUUGCACUCACCGAUAAAGAGUUGAGUGGCGAACGGGUGAGUAACACGUGGGCAACCUGCCCAAAAGAGGGGGAUAACACUUGGAAACAGGUGCUAAUACCGCAUAACCAUAGUUACCGCAUGGUAACUAUGUAAAAGGUGGCUAUACUACCGCUUUUGGAUGGGCCCGCGGCGCAUUAGCUAGUUGGUAGGGUAAAGGCUUACCAAGGCAAUGAUGCGUAGCCGAAUUGAGAGGUUGAUCGGCUACAUUGGGACUGAGACACGGCCCAAACUCCUACGGGAGGCAGCAGUAGGGAAUCUUCCACAAUGGGCGAAAGCCUGAUGGAGCAACGCCGCGUGGGUGAAGAAGGUCUUCGGAUCGUAAAACCCUGUUGUUAGAGAAGAAAGUGCGUGAGAGUAACUGUUCACGUUUCGACGGUAUCUAACCAGAAAGCCACUGCUAACUACGUG
rnacentral:rRNA from 1 species